GUAAUUUUAACAUAGAUAUAAUUUUUUAUGCAAUGCAUGAGUAUAUGAAAUGUUAAGACGAUAAUAUAUCAUGUGAUUUAAAAUUCAAAGAGAGACAAUGAACCAUGUUUGAUAUUUUGUUUGUCUUGUUUCGUUUAAAUUUGGGCGUUUUUCAGUUGGAUUCAUGGGUUUUGUUUAAGAUAUCAUUUUUGGUUUAGCCAACGCAAAAGUUUACAUCUUUUCUAUGUUGGAUUCAUGGGGUUUUCUUAAGCUUUCAAGUUUUCAGUUUUUGUCAAGAAAUUUAAUCUAGGUUUCAUUUAUUUUUCAAACUAGACACUUUUGUGAAGAUUUUCUUUAUAAUUCAGUAAAUGAUUGCUCCUUUACCUGUAAAUUUGACUUAUGUAAAUUUCCAGGUUGUUCAAAACCCGCAGGGAAGCGCGGGCAAUUUUUCUAGUUAAAUGUCUAAAAGAAACGUAUAAGAGAUUUGGUGGCAUGAUUUUGUAAAUGAACACAAAUUCAGGGACAUCUUUUAUCCAACAUGACAUCAUAUUUAAAAUUUGGGUUUUAUUUAGAAGUUAUAAUAUUUAUGUGGCCUUUUGUCUAGAGUUUAAGAGUUGCCAGGAUUGGAUGAAAAUUUGCUGAGUGUUGGACAAAUGAUGCAGCAUGGAUAUUUCCUUCUAUUUGGAUUGAUGAGGUUGCUCUAUUUGAAGAUAAGAUGCUGGAAAAUCAUGUGGUUACAGUACAAAUGACUGGGAAUAGAUGUUUCCCUCUCAUAAUGGAAGAUAAGAAAUUCAAUGUGUUGAAAGCUGCUUUGGAAGACGGUGCUUAAGAUUGGCACAUAAGACUUGGACAAUUGAAUUUUCAAAGCCUGUAGUUACCUGUUAGUCGGGAAAUGGUACUAUGAAUGCCAAAGUUGAAGCAAACACAAACAGUAUGUGAAGGUUGUGCGGUGGGAACGCAUCACAGAGAAGCCUGUAGCAGGGAGAUAAUGUGGAGAGCAAGUCAUCCACUAGAGUUGAUACACUCUGAUAUUUGUGCAGGUUACAACAUCGGGUGGAAACAAGUAUUGCUUGACUUUCAUAGAUGAUUGUACAAGAAGGUAUUGGUUGUAUCUUCUGAAGCACAAGUCUAAAGUGUUCACUGUGUUUAAACAUUUCAAAGCCAUGGUUAAGCUACAAUGUGGAUACCAGAUCAAAAGAUUGAGGAGUGACAACGGUGCAAUAUCUAUUUACUAGACAUCCUUUGGGAUUCUUCCAUAUUAGAACAAGGAUUCUAUUCUAAAAAGGCCCCCUCUCCCACGGUAUAAAUACACCCAUCUAGGGUUCAUCUACGGUUGUUCCAGACUACAUGAAUUCGUGCUCGACCGCCUCUUACGGCUCCAAACUAAUUAAUAAGUUUAAGGGGGAUAUGAUGAAGAAGUAUGAGAUGACUGAUCUUGGCUUGCUUUAUCAUUUUCUUGGUAUGUGAAUAGUUCAAACAGAGCAAAAGUAUCUUUAUCAAUCAAAAGAAGUACACUCUUGCACUUUUAGACAAAUUUAGUUUUGAAGAUUGCAAGCCUCUCACUAUAACACUUGCAGUGAAUACGAAGUUGAAAGGAGAAGAUGGUGGUGCUCUUGUAGAUAAAGCUCUUUAUAGGUAGAUUGUUGGUAGUCUGUUAUAGUUGAUAGCUACAAGGCCUAACAUUGUGUUUGAUGCGAUCUUACUCUCAAAAUUCAUGCACAGUCCUUCAAAGAAACACUUUGGUAUUGCAAAAUGGGUGCUAAGAUACAUACAAGGAACCUUGGAUUAUGCCAUUGAAUAUUUGAAAUCCAAGGAAGCAAUAUUAUGCUAAUAGGCUAUUGUGGCUGUGAUUGGAGUAGGGAUGAAAAUGAUUUGAAAAGUACUCCUGGAUAUGCAUUUUCAUUUGGCAGUGGAAUCUGCUCAUGGGCUUCAUCGAAACAACACAGUGUAGUAUUGUCUACUGCAGGUGCUGAGUAUGUUAGUGCCUCUGAAGCUAUUACUCAAGAGAUUUGGCUUUGAUUUAUAAUGGAAGACUUUGCUGAAUUACAAACUUAGGCUACUUGAUUGCAUUGUGACAACACAUCUGCCAUUGUCAUGACAAAAACCAUGUGUUUCAUGAAAGAUCCAAGCACAUAAAUAGCAGGUAUCACUUCUUUAGAGAAUCACUACAAAACAAUAUCAUCAAUCUAUUGUAUUGCAGAUCAGAGGAACAAUUGGCAGACAUCUUCAUCACAGCAUUGUCAAAUAAUCUAUUCUUCUAUCUCAGAAACAUGCUAGGGAUCAAAUCAGCAACAAUCUUAGAAGUGAGUGUUAAUGAUUAAGCAUUGGUGUUGAUUCCUUAGACUGCAAGCUUAGAAGGUAUGGACUGCACAGAGAGAAGGAGGGGGAGAGAGCGCGGAGAGAGGAAGAUGACGGAAGGGUGGGUCUUUUGAACAGAGACCUUGCAGACAAAGGGUGAGGGAGGGAUGGGACUGAUCUUAACGAAAUUACAGAAAACAAGCCACCCUAAUUCAAGUUCUCUAUCUUCAGAUCACCAGCAAUAACCUCAUCAAGGUCCUAGGAGGAAUCACGAGGAUUCACAGCCGAAUUGGUAUGUACUUAUGCUUUUGCAAAAAGCCCUUUUCUUGCCAUUUUUCUGUUUUAGAAUUGGGACCAAAAUGAUUAUGAGUGAUUUUGAAAAACACCGAGAAAAAAUGGCUAUCAAGCAAGCAGGCUGUGAGUAUUCAAAAUAUAAUUUUCAGUCAAAUAAAAUAUUGGCACCACAAGCUUUUAAGUAGGGAGGGAUGUUUGAUUAUAUAUUUAAAUUAAGCAAAGAAUCUUGCAUAAGAAAACGAUCCAAGUUGAAGUAAACCAAAUAUAUGGUGCAACAACUGUUAGUUUGGUCAGUCUUCAUCACACUAAUCAAAUGGGCCCGAGGGGUUGAUUUUCACAGUAACCACUUACUUUUUAGUAUGUUCCGGAGUAUUUUAGUGUUUAACUAUUUUUUACAUUUUUGAGGUUCGGAGUGAUUUUUAAAACGAGUCAUGAAUUUUAGUUUUCUAAUAUUACACUCUCUAUGCUUCAGAUUUUCCACAUUUUGACUUGGACUUCUUUUUUUCUUUGUUCUGUUUGAAGAACUUAGUACUUUUGAUUUCAGUAGCAAAAUAAUUUGAACAGGAUGAGAGAGAGAGAGAGAGAGAGAGAGAGAGAAAUAAAGCAUCUACUUGAUCUCUGUACUUUCUCUUAUUCUUAUGUGUGGUUAAGGUUGCAUAUCUGAAUUUUAACCUAUCAUCAUGUAAGUAUUAUAGUGUGUUUUAGAAGCGGGAGUGUGUGAAAUGUGUUGAUGCUGAUGAUGGUGUCGAAUUUGGGGACACUUCCCAGCUAGCAGAGCAAGUAACAGAGAGCUUUUUCCAACUCAAAUUUAAUGAUUCAAGCUGCUUAAGACUUGCAUAACAUUUCCAAGUUGUAGUCGAUGUGCCUGAGUUCUUGAGUACUUCAGUCUUCACUAAUGAAUGUAACACCAUUAAGACUUGGAAUGUCUUUGGGGGGUACGAAAUAACAUUGCUCAUUUCGUAUUUUAUGGGUUCGAAUUUUUUGUCGAGUACGUGAUUCUUGCAAAAGAGUUGUAAAUAUCGUUGUAAAUAUGUGUAAGUAGAGUUGUAAACCCUACCAUUGAACACUUAAUAUAGUUGUACAUAUAUAUAGAAAUUUUUACAUGCUU